GGCGUUUCUAAAUCGUUUGUGUAGCCUAUUGCAGACAGUAGGCCUAUCCCAAAUGUGUCUAACAUGAUCGCGAAGUCCGUCUUUAUAUUCAGUUUUAUUUUUGAUUCAUUCGCGCUCAUGUGUGUCUCAUGUCAGCUGCCGGAUUGAACUUGGACCUGUCUUUUUCUAUUUAUGUAUUCGUCCGAGAGAACGACGACAUUUGCGAUCGAUAGUGUUUGCCAUUUUUGGACUAUUUAAAGUGGGGAAAUUUCAUUGUAGAAAUGCGUGCAACACACUGAAUGCUGUCGCUGUCUCUCGCCAACACUUACAGCGGACCGUCUGUGAUUAUAAAAAGUAGAUUUGAAACAUGAUCAGACGCGGAAUGAAGGAUUGACCCCAUGGGUAAUCGAUUUCUGUGGAAACAAUGAUUUAUUUGGAUUAAAAAUCUGACUAAGACAGGCAAACAGCAAGUUGGUCCUUUGUGCUAUUCCGUUCUCACAAGCCUCGCGGCUAUGUCUCCCUACUGUAGACAGAGACGGACCAUCUUCCACCAUCUACAGACGUUUUGUCACGGUAAAUACAAGUAAUGGUACAACAAUAAAUAAGAUGAUAAAAGUGGAAUGAUUCAGCAGUUCAGAACAUGACCAGUAAUCCUUCGAUCUAGAACUGAUACCCCAGACCCUGUAGUGGUAUACCAUAAUGUAGUACCCAGUACUGAUCCUUCCCCAGACCCAGUAAUGAUACGGUACCCAGAGCCAGUACUGGUACCAUAAUGUUGACCCAGUACUGAUACUUCCCUAGAAACAGUACUGACACAGUACCCAAGAUCCAGAACUGGUACUUCCCUAGUCCCAGUCCUGAUACAGUACCAGAGAACCUGA
ensembl:lncRNA